rnacentral:lncRNA from 10 species
UCGGCUCACUGCAACCCCCACCUCCCGGGUUGAAGCAAUUCUCCUGCUUCAGCCUCUCAAGUAGCUGAGAUUACAGUACACUUUGUACUUUAAUAUGCAAACUGCCUGCCUGCUCCAGAGAAGCAGCCUUUGUUCCUCAGUUCAUCGCAACACUCAGCCUGUCAGUCAGGUUGUGGGAUCCCUCCUAUCCAGGAACUGUAUGCUGUUGUCCCGGUUCUGACACUUUCCCUCUGAGUCCUUGGACACCUUACCUAACCUCUUGGAAGCUCCUGUCUGUGAAGGGUGUGCACAGAGAGCUUCGGUAGCCUGCGAAGCAGCCAUUUUCACUUCCACGGAGCAGAUGCUGGCCUGGGUGCUGGAAUAUGGAAAUGAGGAAGAUCCUGCCUGAGGAUUUCAUGACAGUGCUGCGAUUACCGACGUGAGCCACUGUGCCCAGCCUCACUUUAAAAAAAAAAAAAGGUUAUGAAGCAUCUCAACACAAGACCUCCUUUGCUCAUCACAACCACCCAGUGAAGCAGGCAAGACAACAGAAACUCCCCACCUGUGAUAGAUGUGAGGCCUGAAGUCUCCCACAUACCCACGGCAGAUGCAACGCACAGCGGUGACCAAUGGACAUGGUCCAAGCAGACCCUUUCCUGAGACUUUCUAAAUGGAGCUGUGUGAGAAGAGUUCCUUUCUGUUUUGCCUCUGGAGCUGAAGGUUGAGAACUCAGAGCUGCCCGUGUUCUACCCUGUGAAAAUAAAGGCAAUCAAUUCACAGAGACAAGCAGAAACAAGGCGUCCAGAGCAAGUCCUUCACAUCACCCUGGACACCCUGGCCCUGAUUUCCACUCCCUGCCAGGCUUGUUUGUCCAAUUCUUCUUUUUGUUCCAAGCACCAUCCCAGCAGGCUUAGUUACCUGUAAGCAUUUGGUUAAUCUCUCUUCUCAGCUAGACCGUAGGCUCCCCGAGUGCAGAAACUAUGUUUAUUUUGGUCUCUGCUGGAUCUCCAGCACCUAAAUAAAUGUUUAUGGUUGACUGCAAGGCAGAUCUGUGUGGGGAAUGAAGAAGAGUAUUAAGACCUCCCAGAUGGGCUGCUGGAGGCCUGUCCAAGGUGGAACUUUGCAUGGUGAGAAAUGCAAUUCAGUAGGAAAACAAAGAACUCCUUCAUCCUCCUCUAGAUUCUGCAGGCAAGUGAUCAGCUCAAGGUGAAGGAUCUAAAACCUGAAAAGAGGCCAAAUGAUUCCUCAAAACCACGCAAGUACGAAGUAGCAGAGCGGAUCUCAAAUCCAGGUUGCCCUGCUGAUGUCAUGCCUGACCAUAUGACUUGCUCCAGCCAAUGAAAUGUAAGCAGAAGUGACAUAUGCAGCAUGACCAGUGGAAGCUUCGAAGAGCUAUUGCCAAUUUCCACCCUCUCUCUGGAAACUGUCAUUAGGGUUAGGGAAACUGUCAUGAGAUCUGCAUAUUUUAGAUAGAGGCUGCUUGCCUUAUUUGGGCACCUAAUGAAAAAGACAUGGAGGCCAGGUGCGGUGGCUCAUGUCUGUAAUCCCAGCACUUUGGGAGGCCAAGGCGAGUGGAUCACCUGAGGUCAGGAGUUCGAGACCAGCCUGACCAACAUGGCAAAACCCCGUCUGUACUAAAAGUGCAAACACAAAGGGAACUGCGUGGCUUGUUUCUACCUGAACAUUGUCAAGUGAUUUCAUCCUUUGAAACACAGUUGUGAAGUGUGUCCAGCAGUCUGAGAACAAGAAGAAGAAGAAAAUCUAAUCCUUCAGGGUGUCUGUGUGCCAGCCCUGCUCUCAGCACUUCCCAUGUGGAACUCCUUUACUUCUCCUAACAACUCCAUGACAUGGGUUAGACUGUGAUUGUUCCCAUAUUGUUGGUAGGGAAACUGAGGCAUGCAGGUGUUACAGAGCUCUCUCAAGUGGCAAGCUUUCUGGGUGGUUACAGAGUGGCAGAGCUGGGGUAUCCCAUGAUGUCACCACACUGCUAUAUGGAAAAGAACAUUAAUCGAGCACCUACGUGCUUGAUUCUCUUAAUUCUGUGACUGAACUCUCAAAACACCCUGGAGCACUGCGUGUUUUGAAAUAUACAAAUAGUGGGAAACGAAAUCUUUGUUCUGGAUGCAGUUAUAAUUUGGAAAGCGAGGAAAUAAAUUAUAACAAGGGGAAAAAACAGACACAGAGGGAUUGAAAUGCAUAACAAUAGAGAUGAAACACGAAGAGUGAUAAAUGAAGAUUGAGUGUGCACACCUUCUGGAGGAGCCCUGAUUGAGUAUUUUAAAAUACUACUAAAGUCAUGCCGUGUGACUUCUGAAGCUAGCUCCUAAGAAGUCCUUGCAGCUUCUGCCUGCGACUCUUAGAACACUUGCUUUGAAGGAUGCCAGAUGCUGUCUUAAAAGUCUGAGCACUCUGAAACCAUCAUGCUGUGAGGAAGCCCAAGCUAACCACAUGGGCAAAAAAGAUGCCCUCUGACUGCCACCAUUUGAGACACUCUAAUUAAGAACUGCCUCAUUGAGCCCAUGAGGCCCUGUGAAUGAUAAUAAUAAAUUGUUUUUAACCACUAUGUUUUUGGAUUUGUUAUAAGUUUAUAGAUAACAAGAAAAAGUUAUAUUAGCAUGGUAAUAAAAUUAUGGAUAUGUGUAAGUUUGGUGUUUUGUUUCUUUUUUUUUUUUACACUAAGCCUAUAUUACUGUUGUAAUUUAGGAAAUCACUUGUUUUCCUCCAGCACUUCAAUGUAAGAGUGGCACUACUUAGAAUGUACUUCUUAAGAUAUGGCU